GCCUGGUUCAAGUGCUGUGGUGUUUCACAACUAAUUGAUCGCAACUAGUUACAGAUUCCUUUGUUCCUUCUCCACUCCCGCUGUUUCACUUGACUAGCCUAAA
ensembl:misc_RNA Y_RNA Y RNA